rnacentral:rRNA from 1 species
GCUCAGCCGUAAAAAAUCUACUAACACCAUACAGCGCCAGGGAAUUACGAGCCAUGCUUAAAACCCAAAGGACUUGACGGUGUCCUACCCCCCUAGAGGAGCCUGUUCUAUAAUUGAUAAUCCCCGUUCUACCUUACCAUUCCUAGCUUAUCAGUCUGUAUACCUCCGUCGAAAGCCUACCGUGAGAACGUUUGCAGUCGGCUCAAUGGCCAAAACGCCAGUACGUCAGGUCAAGGUGCAACUUAAGGAAUGGGAAGUAAUGGGCUACAAUUUCUAAAUUAGAAUAUACGAAAGACUAUGUGAAACCAUAGGUCUAAAGGCGGAUUUAGUAGUAAAAAGAAAAUAGAGUGUUCUUUUUAACUUGGCAAUAGGACGUGUACACACCGCCCGUCACCCUCUUCAAUAAACCGCUAACACAGUUUCUAACUAGUCAUCGCAACCCCCAAGAGAAGAGGUAAGUCGUAACACGGUAGGAGUACUGGAAAGUGCCCCUGGAAAUAUCAAAAUGUAGCUUAACAAAAGCCCCUCGCUUACACCGAGAUUAUAUCUGUUUAACUCAGAUCAUUUUGAGCCCCAAAUCUAGCCUACACAACUCGUAUGCCACCCUAAUCUAUUAUACCCUAAACAAAACAUUUUAACCUUUUUAGUACAGGCGAUCGAAAAGCUUCUAAGAGCUUCAGAUAAAGUACCGCAAGGGAAUGAUGAAAUAAUAUGAAAUACCUUAAAGCCUUAAAAAGCAAAUUAUCCCUCG